UACGUAGGGGGCAAGCGUUGUUCGGAAUUACUGGGCGUAAAGGGCGCGUAGGCGGCACGGCAAGUCGGGAGUGAAAGGCCUGGGCUCAACCGAGGAACUGCUUCGAGACUGCCGAGCUAGAGUGCAGAAGGGGCAACUGGAAUUCCCAGUGUAGCGGUGAAAUGCGUAGAUAUUGGGAAGAACACCUGAGGCGAAGGCGGGUUGCUGGGCUGACACUGACGCUGAGGCGCGAAAGCCAGGGGAGCAAACGGG
rnacentral:rRNA from 1 species